GCCCAGCCGUAAACAAUUAACUUACAUCUACAACCGCCGGGGAAUUACGAGCUACGCUUAAAACCCAAAGGAUUUGACGGUGUCCCACCCCCCUAGAGGAGCCUGUUCUAUAAUCGAUAAUCCCCGCUAUACCCAACCACCUCUCGCUAUUCAGUCUGUAUACCUCCGUCGAAAGCUUACCAUGUGAACGCCUACAGUAAGUACAAUGGCUACCAACGUCAACACGUCAGGUCAAGGUGCAGCUUAAGUGGUGGAAAGUAAUUGGCUACAAUUUCUAACCUAGAACAAACGGAAGGCUAUGUGAAACCAUAGUUCUGAAGGCGGAUUUAGUAGUAAAAAGAAAAUAGAGCGUUCUUUUUAACCCGGCUCUGGGACGCGUACACACCGCC
rnacentral:rRNA from 1 species